CUACGGGGUGCUGCAGUGGGGAAUAUUGCACAAUGGGCGCAAGCCUGAUGCAGCCAUGCCGCGUGUAUGAAGAAGGCCUUCGGGUUGUAAAGUACUUUCAGCGGGGAGGAAGGGAGUAAAGUUAAUACCUUUGCUCAUUGACGUUACCCGCAGAAGAAGCACCGGCUAACUCCGUGCCAGCAGCCGCGGUAAUACGGAGAGUGCAAGCGUUAAUCGGAAUUACUGGGCGUAAAGCGCACGCAGGCGGUUUGUCAAGUCAGAUGUGAAAUCCCCGGGCUCAACCUGGGAACUGCAUCUGAUACUGGCAAGCUUGAGUCUCGUAGAGGGGGGUAGAAUUCCAGGUGUAGCGGUGAAAUGCGUAGAGAUCUGGAGGAAUACCGGUGGCGAAGGCGGCCCCCUGGACGAAGACUGACGCCCAGGUGCGAAAGCGUGGGGAGCAAACAGGAUUAGAUACCCCAGUAGUC
rnacentral:rRNA from 1 species